UCAUCACUUUGUUUUAAGCUACUGCAACAGUUGUGCUUAAAAAUGCUAACAGGGAAAAGAGACGUUUUUGCAUACUUGCCAACUGGCUACGGCAAAAAUGUGAUAUAUCAAGCAUGGCCAGGUUCUCGUAGUCUGCAAUCGGAGGAAUAACCUCGCAGUGUAUCCCCGCCCCAAGUUUAAGCACCUCCCUCGCCCUGGUACACCCAAAUAUGGAAAACUCAAGCCCCGGAACUACUGCUGCUGCUAUCCGAUGCUUCCCAUUGUCUCUUGACAGAUUCUACAGUACCCUUUAUGUUUACAUAGUGUAAGGGCGGCAGGUAGCCUUGACAGAUUAUACAGUACCCUUUAUGUUUACAUAGUGUAAGGGCGGCAGGUAGCCUUGACAGAUUCUACAGUAGCCUUUAUGUUUACAUAGUGUAAGGGCGGGAGGUAGCCUUGACAGAUUCUACAGUACCCUUUAUGUUUACAUAGUGUAAGGGCGGCAGGUAGCCUUGACAGAUUCUACAGUACCCUUUAUGUUUACAUAGUGUAAGGGCGGGAGGUAGCCUUGACAGAUUCUACAGUACCCUUUAUGUUUACAUAGUGUAAGGGCGGCAGGUAGCCUUGACAGAUUCUACAGUACCCUUUAUGUUUACAUAGUGUAAGGGCGGCAGGUAGCCUUGACAGAUUCUACAGUACCCUUUAUGUUUACAUAGUGUAAGGGCGGGAGGUAGCCUUGACAGAUUCUACAGUACCCUUUAUGUUUACAUAGUGUAAGGGCGGCAGGUAGCCUUGACAGAUUCUACAGUACCCUUUAUGUUUACAUAGUGUAAGGGCGGGAGGUAGCCUUGACAGAUUCUACAGUACCCUUUAUGUUUACAUAGUGUAAGGGCGGCAGGUAGCCUUGACAGAUUCUACAGUACCCUUUAUGUUUACAUAGUGUAAGGGCGGCAGGUAGCCUUGCGGUUAGAGCGUUGGUACAGUAACCGAAAGCUCGCUGGUUCGAAGAGCCGACAAGUUGAAAUAUCUGUCAAUGUGCCCUUGAGCAAGAAACUUAACCCUACUUUGCUCCAGGAGUGCUGUUUUUAUAUGGCUGAAACUGUAAAACAACACAUUUCACUGCACCUAUUCAGGGUAUGUGACAAUAUAACGUGUGUUUUUUGGAGGGUCUCUCCAUGAGAGAGUAUGGGUAUAUUGAUGAUGAUUUGGUCCUAUAGGCUAUGAAGCAUAAUCACCAGUGAUCUAAUGUUAUGUUUAAUAGUAAGAAAACAAUUUUUAAUAGUGUGUGUCUCUGUCUCUC